CUCACUUUUGCUCCUCUUUUAAUUCUUUCCCUCAGAGCUCUGCAGAGGGUAGUGAGUGAGCAGCUGUAUGGGGUGGAGAUGCCUGUGGGGAUUAAAUCACAACACCCCUGACUAGUUGUUCUUUCUUUGCAAGGAUAAAAUCCAGCAGAGCAUCUCCCCUUUUUGGCUGGUUGAUCACUUACUUGUGCUCUGCUGUAUUGUCCCUCCACCAGAUAUUGGAGUGAUCAAAUCCUGCAUGAGCAGGUGCUUGGUAGCAGACAUUCACUACAGCAUUACCAGUUUUGGUCUGACCAGUGAUUCUGGGCCCAUGAGCUGUCAGCUGACUCAUCACUCAUCCCUAGGUGGGACCCUUGUCUGCUCCUGGCAGUGCUCUUGCUUCAAGGGCAACUUCACCUCUUCACCAUCACAUCCACCCCUUGCAGAAGCUGUGUAAGUUACCCCACCAUGUUUCAUGGUCCCAGUGUGCUCUCAGCCCUGCCAACUGUGUGCAGGCCUCCUAGUCCUCGUGUCUGCACACUGAGUGUUGGUGCACAGGCACUUCAGAGAGGCACUCAGUCAUCCUGGUUGCUUGUUGAUAACAUGACAUAACAUGACUGAUGCUAUAAAGACCUAUCACAACACACCAGUUAUUGAACCUCAGAACGUGUCCUUCAGUGUGUUCCUGCUGUAAGGGAGACAAGCUGAAAGGAUGUGGUGGUGGACAGUGAAUGCUUACUUCUCUCAGCUCCCAAGAUCUACUCUGCCUAUUUACUCCUGGCUCCUAGCAAUAGAAAAUGAUUUGCUCCCCAGGGAGUCAGCAAUGAUCAGUGCAGUAUUGAAAAAUGUGCUAAAGGUUGAGAGAGAAAAAAAUGUUCUCUGACUUCUGGAAGGAAAUGUCAAGUGAAAGAACUUGAGGGAUAGGGUGUUUGGAGGAAAUGUGAUAUUCAAAGGUCAAAUGAUUGGAAAUAGGUCGAGACUAGCAGAUUUGAAAAGAAAGGUGAAUGUAUUCAAGGUUAGGAAGAUAACAGAAUAUACAGAAAUAAUAGUAGGACUGGGAAAUGCUAAUAAUAUAUAAUCCUGUAAAUGACAAGAAAAGGAAGAAAGGUCAGAAGAAACCAGUACUUUUUAAAAGUAUCUAUGCUUCAUAAAUCACAUAAAAAUCAACUGCUCUGUUCUGAGUAAUCCUUGACUUUAUUUGCUUUGUCCUGGGAUGUAUGCAGGUUGACGUGAUCUGAAAUGGAACCGAAGUCAUUGUGCUUUCAAGGGCUUGCUUCCCUAUACUUUGCUUCAAUGGCUUUCUUUCCUGCAUCCCCUGGGUGUGAUAAUGCCAUUCUGUGAAUCAUAAUAGCAGUGCAGAGCUUAAUUAAUGUUUGCAAAACACUUAGAUCCUCAGAUGAAGUGUGCUAUGUGCAUUCGGUGCAACAUAUUACUGCCAAUAAGCAGAGGCUAUUUUUAAUUCCAGCAACAGCUAAUUUUUGGUGCUUUUUUUUUAUCACAAGAGCAGCCGCAUGAGAAUGGCCAGGAAAGGUCGUGCCAAGGUUCCGUUAUCUCACUAUCUCAGCUUGAAGAGUAGCAGGUGUUUAAGGAACAGAUCUGCACAAAAGACAGAGGCUUUAUCUGGGAAACUCUCCUGGCUUCUAGAAACAAAUUUUUAAAGACUUUGUAAUCUGAAGGUUACAUCCAGUACCUGCCCCUGAAGGGAAUUCUUGUCCCUGCCUUUUCAGCCAAUGCUUGGUGAGCCAAGGGAUUAACCUUGCAUACCCUUUAUAGGGUGUUCUCCCCGAGAGAGAGAAAAUAGAGGAAGAAAAUAAUAUUUUUAGUCUUUUUAGUUGCAAGCAAAUCUCCAUCUACCACGGUGACAAAUGUAUUUGAGUCACUAGAGGAAAAAUUGUGAUAUUUGGUACUUUGACAUAACUGCUCAUGGAAGAGCUCAGCAUAUGUCCUUUCAGCCCCCAGAAAAGGAUGAUUUAUUGCUUUAAAUUUAUCAGAAUCUUUAAAACCACAGAUUCUGAUUUGAGGAGACGUAAGUUCUUCAUUCUUGUGAGUGAGACAACUGGAUGUAUAUGCAUUAGUUCAUACUAAAGAGAUGUUAAAAUCCUGGCUUUUAUAUAAAUUAAACCAAAGAUCAUCAGCUCUAUGUAAGGAAUUGCUUUGCCUUGCCAUUGCCUUACUUUUCCCCUCCCAGCUAACAGACAGUGUUUUAUGUAUCAACUGGCAGCAGUUUUUGGCCUCCAAAAUAGAAAUAUGUGGAAAUAUAACAUAUAUAUAUAUACACAUAUAUAUAUAUGAAUGAACCAUUUUUAUGCUCAAUUGGAUUAUAAUUUUCUUAAUUUUCUGAUUUGCCCAAAUAGACUAAUUCCUAAUUUAAAAACCUUGCUAAGGGAAUUCUCUUCCAUUUAUAUGGGGAAAAAUAACUAUAUGAAGUUGUGAAAAUAUUUGGAGAAGUGUGUAAUGAAAGGGCCAAUAAAAAUGUAAAUUAUCUCAACUGUAUUUAUUAUAUAUUUUACCUGGUUCUCUAGCAAUGCUGCUGAUUUUGAUAGCAAGCAGCCUACCAAAUAUUUUGUAGUGUGCUUUAAAAAAAUAAAUGAAUAAACCCAUAAUAUUUGCAUUUAAUUAUCUGCCAGAGAAGGUAUCUCUUCCAUUUCAAAUUAGUCAAGCAGAUGGUCUAUGUUCACCAAAAUCUUUUUAUCUUGGACCUGGAUUCUACUCUAGGUGGCAGAAUUGCUCUAUCUACAGCACACAAAGAACAGAUUAAGAAACAAAAAAUGGUUAAUGAUAUAUAUCUCCCUAGUGUGACUAAUUCUUGCUUCCUAAAUCAACUACCUUAUUUUUCCAAUAGUGUCAAAUGUAUCAGUAAGCAGGUAGAAUUCAUAAGCGGUGUUUUUUAAAGGGGAAAAAAUAAUAAAGUGUUUUCCUUUAUGAAAAGUGCCUGGCUCAAUUAGAAGCUACAGAAUUUUUUGUAAGGUAUAAUUGCUACAAAAUGCUGAUACUUGAAGCGACUUUGAGGUAGCAUGUAUGAACUGCUGCAUAUGUAUAGUUUCCUAGGAGGGGUUGGGGCUGGGGGAAGAGCUAAUCUUUCCAACAGUGCUAGGUCAAAUUCUUUGCAUAUGAAGGAAUUAAAUUCUAACACAAAAUGCAUGUUAAACAGGGAGAUGGGACGCUUUAGACAUGUUUGUAAAGAAGCUGUUCUUUCAGGCUGAAAUGCAUAAGCGUAAACUGCUCCAUGCAUUGUAAGAGCUUAGAAGGAUUGAGCCCCUCUGAUGGUUACCAAGAUAAACACUUUGGCAAAAGCUCCACCCUAGAUCCUGUAAUUCCAAGAAUUUUGAAACAUUGGAUACAAUUUCUUUGUUGUCCAGUGUAAUAUAUUUUAAGCAUAAUUUCUUGUGUCCUUCUGACACUGUUUCCAAACUUUAGAUUACAGGGGGGAAAAAAAGAGGGCAAUGAAAGCUUUCAGGAGGAGGGAGGAUUAAAUUACACUCUUUAGGAGGCCAGACAUUUUAAGUCUAGAAAUUCUUGUUGGAGCUGUGGAGAGGGGUGGAGAAUUCCAAGGAUGUUCGUGUUCUUCCUUCCCCAGAUUCAGUGACGCUACUUCUUAUGUUUAGGAUGUGUUUUCAUUGCCCACAUUGUUAGGCUUCCUCUCCACCCAUGGUGAAUAUGUUAUUGCUACUCCUAAAUGAAAACUACUUACAAAAAAAUCUUCUCAGUACUUACCAUUUUUUCUGGAUUUUGUAGCAGGGUUGGUGUUGUGGGAGUUGUAACACUAUUUUGUAGUGCUACUCCCUCCCGAGACUGAUGGUGGGGAGUGUAAACUGGGCACAUAAAUGUAAAUAUUGAAACAUGAGGGAAAGAAACAUUACCCUUUCUUUCAAAGCUUUGCUACAUUUUACCAAAAGCUUUCUACAUUUUCAGUGGAUUAAAAAGAAAGUAAAGCAAUUAUAGCAUUGGCUUGGAAGACUCUCCUUAAAGUUGGAGAGAGUGUAAUUUUUUUUUCCUCCUUCUCAUAGAAAGUAGAAUUGUUGACUACAUGCUGUCUUCGGUUUGUGGACCAUCUAGACUUUUUUUCUUCUCUCUUCUUGGCUUGUUGCAGUAUAAUAUGCUUUCUGUUUUGAGUUGAAAGCAUCCUUUAUUCGUGCUGAGUAUAACUUUCCUUCUGGGAGGAUCCAUUGAAACAAAAUGGAGCUGCUUUGUAAAUGCAGAGAAGAUAAGUUCUCUAUAAGAGUAUGAAUGCAGUCUUUGCCUGAGAACACCAGAAGCAAGAAAAGAAGGUGGAAGUCUCCCAUGGCAAUUUAUCCAUGGAUACUUCUGAAGUGUAUUUUUUACUUGAUUUCACUUCAAUCAGCAGUUUGUAAGGCUAUGUGGGAGUAUGUAGAGGUAUGUCAGACUAACUGAUAGUGUGGGGAACAUGGGAACACUUACUUCUGUAAGAUCAUCUGGUCAAGGACCUUGUCAAAUGCGAUGAAAAGAAGAGGGAAGCAAUAACUGAAAUACAGAGACAGGCCUGGCAGACAAACAUAACAGGACAGAGACAAGAAACAAACAAAAAAUAACGAGCUAUCUGCAAACAAACUGGCAUUUAAAAACUGAUAAGGUUGUAAAUCUGAGGGUCCAGGAUGUUGGAAAGGGCCAGUGGUACUGCCCAGACUGGUGGGGGAAAUGUGCAGGGGGAGUCAAAGAGGAACAAUGUGGAUACAGACAGAAAGGGUUUAAAAAGGUGUUGGUCACUUGCAAAACAAAGCUGGUCAGUAUGUUUGCCUGACUGAACCCUAUGCUGAUCACCACAGCCUGUCUGAUUUUCUGAUUAGAUUGUGUCUUAAAGAUUCUCUGUUAAAUCCCUGUGUGUGAGUGCUGCAAAGACCGGGUGCCAGCUGCUGGGGUGCAGUGUGAAUGGAUUUGGAGCAGCUGGAGUCAGACUGAGCUUGUGGGCUCCCCUGGCCUCUGGUGUCACCCACUGAGCCAGUGCCAUCUUUGUGCCACCCACGGGAGUGGGCAGGGAGGUCUUGUCCCCACCACUGUGGCAGGAGCAGCGAGUGGGGGCUCAGUGCCCACAGCUGGAGGGGGAGGGUGGGUCAGCGCCUCUGUGCCUGGCACCUGCCACUGCUGUUGGGGUGAGUGUCCCCCCCAGAGCAGGUGUGCCUGGGUGUGUUCAUUGCAAACCCCAUGCAGGACCAGCCGGCCAGGAGGGGACCUGUGGGGAAGGCAGGAGGGCCCAGGAUGUGGGCAGGGGUGUUGGGCUGACAGAUGGGCUGUGCUGGUACUUGGAGGAUGCACAAAAACAUGUGUGCUCUCACCAGUGACCUCCUGUUGGCACCAGCUGAAGAGGAGGAGGGCACUUGGUUGUCUGGUUUGUUUUAUGAGCUCUGUAGGUGUUGAAGGCAGCACCUUGUCUGUGGCAGCCUGUAUGACCUGCCCUGUCAGUGUCUCUGGAUGUGUGCGCAGCUUUGCCGGUGGUUGAAUCUGCAACUGGAAAAGAAGCAGCCACAUCCUUUGGGCUGGGCAUGGACAUGGGUUCCCAUCACUGGGCUGGGCCCCAGGGACCAGGACUGAGUCCUGGGCUGGAGAUGCUGGUCCCAACAUCCCUUAACAAUGCUUCUUUUUUUGAAAGGAAAAAUUAGGAGAACCAUCCUGUUGAGGUUUUUUUUUUCUUUUUUUUUUUAACAGUGGAAAGCAAAAGUAUGUAUAAAUAACUAAAAAUUUUAAUGUAAAAGUUUCAGGAAAUAUGAGUACUUGAAUUUGUGAAAAAUCCAUCAUUCAGCUUGGUUCAAAGACUCCUAAAUAUUUUUAAACAGGAGUGAAAGAAUGCUGUGCCUAUUUCUGAGCUUCAUCUUUAUUUAUGUAUAAAUCCUCAAAGCUUAUAAGUUUAGCAUUUCUAUAGACUAUAAAAGCAGCAUUUUAUUGACUAAAGUUUGUAUUAAUUUGUAUUCUUACUGCUUCUAAAAAAAA